rnacentral:tRNA from 1 species
GGGCCUAUGUUGGAACUGGUAGACAUGACAGCCUUGGGAGCUGUUGGGAUAGCUUCGGUCUAGGAGCGCAUAUCCCGUGCGGGUUCGAAUCCCGCUAGGCCCA